ACAGUCUGGCUGUGUUUUGCGAUAACACUACCCACCCGUAUACUAUAGAUGGAAAUGCCACACUGGACGCCCUGGUACGUUUGGCACAGUCUCAAAGUCCAUCCCUAUCAUCAAUAUAUUAUUACUUUACUUGGUAUAACGUAUUCGAGAACUCUACAGAACGUGCUGACGAUGUGCAUACCUACAAUACAUUUUGUACCCCCGAUCCUACUGCGACAGUUUUCCAGACACUUCCUCGAAUCGGCUUUUAUCUAACGGCUUACAAAAUGACUUUAUUUAC